rnacentral:rRNA from 1 species
AACGAACGCUGGCGGCAGGCCUAACACACGCAAGUCGAGCGCGCCCUUCGGGGUGAGCGGCGGACGGGUGAGUAACGCGUGGGAACGUGCCCUUCUCUGCGGAAUAGCCUCGGGAAACUGAGAGUAAUACCGCAUACGCCCUUUGGGGGAAAGAUUUAUCGGAGAAGGAUCGGCCCGCGUUGGAUUAGGUAGUUGGUGGGGUAAUGGCCCACCAAGCCGACGAUCCAUAGCUGGUUUGAGAGGAUGAUCAGCCACACUGGGACUGAGACACGGCCCAGCCUCCUACGGGAGGCAGCAGUGGGGAAUCUUAGACAAUGGGGGCAACCCUGAUCUAGCCAUGCCGCGUGAGUGAUGAAGGCCUUAGGGUUGUAAAGCUCUUUCAGCUGGGAAGAUAAUGACGGUACCAGCAGAAGAAGCCCCGGCUAACUCCGUG